rnacentral:rRNA from 1 species
UACGUAGGGUGCGAGCGUUGCCCGGAUUUAUUGGGCGUAAAGGGCGCGUAGGCGGCUCUGCACGUCCGUUGUGAAAUCGCCCGGCUCAACUGGGCGGGGUCAGCGGAUACGGCGGAGCUUGAGCAAGCUAGGGGGCAAUGGAAUUCCCGGUGUAGUGGUGGAAUGCGCAGAUAUCAGGAGGAACACCGGUGGCGAAGGCGGAUCUCUGGGCCUUACCUGACGCUGAGGCGCGAAAGCUAGGGGAGCGAACAGG